rnacentral:rRNA from 1 species
CGGAGGGUGCAAGCGUUAUCCGGAUUCACUGGGUUUAAAGGGUGCGUAGGAGGGCAGGUAAGUCAGUGGUGAAAUCUCCUAAGCUUAACUUGGAAAACUGCCGUUGAUACUAUCUGUCUUGAAUAUUGUGGAGGUGAGCGGAAUAUGUCAUGUAGCGGUGAAAUGCUUAGAUAUGACAUAGAACACCAAUUGCGAAGGCAGCUCACUACACAAUCAUUGACUCUGAGGCACGAAAGCGUGGGGAUCAAACAGGAUUAGAUACCCUGGUAGUCCACGCCCUAAACUAUGGAUACUCGACAUACGCGAUAUACAGUGUGUGUCUGAGCGAAAGCAUUAAGUAUCCCACCUGGGAAGUACGACCGCAAGGUUG